GAUGAACGCUGGCGGCGUGCCUAAUACAUGCAAGUCGAGCGAACAGAUAAGGAGCUUGCUCCUUUGAAGUUAGCGGCGGACGGGUGAGUAACACGUGGGUAACCUACCUAUAAGACUGGGAUAACUUCGGGAAACCGGAGCUAAUACCGGAUAACAUUUAGAACCGCAUGGUUCUAAAGUGAACGCUGGUUUUGCUAUCACUCAUAGAUGGACCCGCGCCGUAUUAGCUAGUUGGUAAGGUAACGGCUUACCAAGGCGACGAUACGUAGCCGACCUGAGAGGGUGAUCGGCCACACUGGAACUGAGACACGGUCCAGACUCCUACGGGAGGCAGCAGUAGGGAAUCUUCCGCAAUGGGCGAAAGCCUGACGGAGCAACGCCGCGUGAGUGAUGAAGGGUUUCGGCUCGUAAAACUCUGUUAUUAGGGAAGAACAAAUGUGUAAGUAACUGUGCACAUCUUGACGGUACCUAAUCAGAAAGCCACGGCUAACUUCGUGCCAGCCGCCGCCGUAA
rnacentral:rRNA from 1 species